rnacentral:tRNA from 1 species
GCCUCGUUAGUUUAUGUGAUAAAACGGCUGACUCCAAAUCAGCAGCUAGCGGUUUGAAUCCGUUACGGGGUGCCA